AUGAACGCUGGCGGCGUGCCUAAUACAUGCAAGUCGAGCGAACAGACGAGGAGCUUGCUCCUCUGACGUUAGCGGCGGACGGGUGAGUAACCCGUGGAUAACCUACCUAUAAGACUGGGAUAACUUCGGGAAACCGGAGCUAAUACCGGAUAAUAUAUUGAACCGCCUGGUUCAAUAGUGAAAGACGGUUUUGCUGUCACUUAUAGAUGGAUCCGCGCCGCAUUAGCUAGUUGGUAAGGUAACGGCUUACCAAGGCGACGAUGCGUAGCCGACCUGAGAGGGUGAUCGGCCACACUGGAACUGAGGCACGGUCCAGACUCCUACGGGAGGCAGCAGUAGGGAAUCUUCCGCAAUGGGCGAAAGCCUGACGGAGCAACGCCGCGUGAGUGAUGAAGGUCUUCGGAUCGUAAAACUCUGUUAUUAGGGAAGAACAAAUGUGUAAGUAACUAUGCACGUCUUGACGGUACCUAAUCAGAAAGCCACGGCUAACUACGUG
rnacentral:rRNA from 1 species